UGGCCGGCUCAUCCAUAUACAUCUAUGGACUGGUUCUUAACUAAUUAUUUUACUAAAUAAUUUUUAGUAAUUAAUUUUAUCCCAGUAUCCUAAUAGUAGACUUUGACCUCCACUGAAAGGUCUGCUUAGGUCCAACCAUUAACAUGAUUAUACUCAGAAAUCUAACCAUAAAUAAUCAGGCCCAAUUUUGGUCGGUUAUCUUGAUCACCCAUAAGAGAGACU
rnacentral:lncRNA from 1 species